AUGGCUGAGGGGCUGAGAGGAUGGGGCUGAGGGGACAUGGCUGAGGGGACAGGGAGCUGAGGAGAUGUGGAUGAGGGACAUGGAUGAAGGACAUGGCUGAGGGGACAGGGGGAUGAGGGGACAUGGCUGAAGGACACACAUCUGAGAGGACAUGGCUGAGGGAUGUGGCUGAGGGGACAUGGAUGAAGGACAUGGCCGAGGGACAUGGCUGGGGGGACAGGGAGCUGAGGGGACAUGGUUGAGGGACACACAUCUGAGGGGACAUGGCUGGGGGGACAGGGGGCUGAGGGGACACAUCUGAGGGGACAUGGCUGAGGCAAAGCCAGAGGCUGGAGGGUGAUGGCCGAGGAGAAGCCGUGAAGGGCGAUGGCAGCUGAGGGGAAGCCGUGAGGGGAGGUGAGCAGGGACGAGCAACCCCUAUGUGCAGUGCUGAAACACAGUGACAAGGGACACCUCAUGCUUCGUGGUGUCAGGGCUUUCUCCUCACACCUUUGGGGACCAAGGAGGUUGCCGACAGACAGAGAAGUCUGAGGGUGGAUGAAGGCUGAACAAAGAUGAAGGAGAUCUCAUGGAAGUGGGAAGGAGCCACAUUUGGCCGGGGAGAGGAUGUCCUGGGAGCACAAAUGUGUAUGAUGGACACGGAGACUGAGGUGGGGAGGCAGCUGGAAGGAGGUUCCUGCUCCAAAACACAACUGUCCAGGGCAGGACAGGAGAAAAGACGGGAGAACAAGUUGUAGUGAUGAAACGUACAGAUAGCAGGAUGGAAAGUGAUGAAAGACCAGGCUUUUUACAGCAGGCGUAGCUGUAGCGCACACGGCUGAAACUUCAUAGGAAGCAGAUAAGUGAAAGAGUAAACAGAAGUCGGGCCAGCGACAGUAAUGCCCAGGUUCCCUUUCUGAAACAACACAGCCACUUUAGAAACCUGACUCCCACAAAAUUCCCCUUGGUUCGUGGAAAUGGCUGAGAGCACUUUGGCUGCCCGAAGAAUUCCCAGGGCAUUUUCUCUCGUUUAUUUUCCAUUUGGGCAGCUGGCCCAUUUGCACGAAGCCUAUGAAGGACAUGUGGGAUGGACAGACCGUGUGCAUGAUGCUCAUCCGAUGCUGUGCAGCCACUGCUGGUCCCAUUUCGCACACUCAUCAGUCCAGACAUGCAAAUAGAGGGCGUGUAGCUUGCAUUUAGAUGCUUUGGUUUUAAAUAUGAGCCACGCAUGAAAAUUGCAUGAAAAACAUCUUUUCAGGCUAGAAGCAAGCCCUCUGUGUGGAUUAAAGGCAGUGUCCCAUUAGUGCCCAGCUCAGCAGCAGCAGAGCAGUGGGCUGCUGAAGAUGGACCUUCCGAAACAUUCAAAUGCCUUGCCUCACUGGGACGAGUUUUUCAGGCUUGCAACUGGAGAGGUUUUUCUCAAUCUGCUCACGAACCCUGGCUGCCAAAGCAGGGUGGAAUACAUGAGCCAGAGAAAUUCAGCGAAGCCCCGAGGCCGGGGUUGGAGAGGUGAUCUCUGAGGAAUUAUCUCACAUCCAAAAUUGUGUCAAGAGGAAUUAUCACGGAAAACAGCAUGGCAGCUGAGAGGCAGAAAAUUAAGGAACGUUUAGGCACACCUCUGUGAGUUGAACGUAAUGGGAAAUACAGGGAGUGUUCAGACAAGGAUCCAGGCAGCCAGAUAGCCCACGUUUUUGAUAAGUUAAAUGAAUUUUUAUUGGCAGCACUUAGCUGCGAAGUAGAAUCUCUAUCAAAGACUGCCUUGAAAGGGAACAAACCAAAUUCUGAAGGAACCAAAGCCCCCCUCAUCUAACCUGCCCCCGAGUUACUUUAUUUGCAGGUUUGCAGCAGCUGGGAAAAUUGCGGGCAUGAAAUGCCACAAAAUAAGCGCUAAAGAAACAGGGGAUAAAAAACGAGUGAUAAAGACUUCUUUAAAUAAAAGUCCUCAGUGCCAGCGUUAGUCAAUAAACAGAGAAUCUUACAGAUAGAGAGAGCUCGGGAAAAAACGAAUCCCAGAGAAUGAGCUAAAAAGCUUAGAAGAGAGUCAAGACGGAUCAGCAAGUUGUGUUGCAAUUAACUAAUUUAAGAGCAUAGUUGAAUAUCUUGGCGACAGAUGCCAGCAAGCAAACCUUUAGGAACACAGGGACGCCAUGUGAAAAUGAAGCUGUUGGCUUGAAAGUUUGGAAUGACUCAAGAAUUCUUUCCAAAAUUAAAAACAACCCCAAAAGGUCGUUUCACAACGUAAUGAAAUAUGUGCUACUGUUGCUGCCUAACAUAAAACCCUGGAGGCCUCAAACAGCCCCAGUUCUGAAGUUAUUCGAGUAGAUCUGUGAGCAGCAGGCUGAAGGUGGGAUGGACUAAACCUGAAAUUGGAGAUAAGUUGAAGGCAAGAAGGACUUGAGAAGCUGUGGGGCCAGGCAGCACCCAGGUGAAAGGCAGGAGGCACUGAAGGCGUUGUUAGCACCCCUAAGGGAUGCCCUCAGGGACAUCCCUUUCAAGGAGGAAUGUCCACAGCCCAUGAAAGACACUCCUGGUGUUGUUCUCCUGGUGGGCAGAGCCGUUGUGGGGUGCAGUGCUUAGAGUACUUGUUAUUACAUCGCUUUUUAAAGAUUUUAGCAAAAGCAGCAGGGGGUAAACAGCUUGUGGCUUAUGUAACCCCCAAACGAAACUGGAUGCAGCGAGGACAAUGUUCAGCUCCCGCUACCACUUGGAAAUCGUCGUGGUGCUUUGCUUUAGCCAGCAGAAACCCUUUUAUUUUUAGCUGGAUGAAUCUCUCAUUGUAGAGAGGGUUUGGGAAAGGGAGCGCUCUGUUUGAAGUCGUGUCCCAUGUGGGCAUCCCUCCCAUGUUCUCUUAACGCUCAGCUUCUCUCAGCCUCAGCCCCAAAGCAGUUGGAAAGUCAACGGAGCAAUUCUCCGUCUGAGAACAGCCUCCGAUGCCUAUUGUCUCCUUCACUUGGCCGUGGAGCCCUUGGAAGAGAGCACGAGGAAUAAUCAGUUUGUCAUAACCGCCGGGAACGCGCUGCACAUGCUGACAGAACGGUGCUGGUUGUAACCAGCCCAAACACUGCCCUAAAAUUAGUACCCAAAUAAAUCCGUUGCUUUGGGAAAGCAUCUGCUUCCAAAUUAAACGAAUCCAGACCUGAAGGCGAGCGAUAUUUUUUGCUGAACUUGAGCUGUCACCCGAGCAGAGCGUGAUUAAGUAUUAGUCUGCAACAAAUUCCUCAGGAAACCUGAGCAGUAAAAUGUCAAGCCACUGAGAAGAGCCAAACGACUUAAAAGUCAGAUUGCUGUCUCAGCAAAUGGAAGCAGAUUUGGAGCACUGGGAGGAAUAUGCAAUUUCUUGGUUGGGAAGAUGAGCCACAGUCAUAAUGAAUAUUUUGCCAAGCCUAUAUCUGGUUGCAAAAUCUUCCCACAGUCAUCCCAAAUAAGCAUUGGUGAGAAUGCAAUGUUAUUAGAAAGGGGACGGCAUAAGAACAGCCUGAGAAGUAAUGAAUGAAUGAAUGUAGGCUGGUAACAGAGGCUCGUUAAACAGGGGGCACCAGCUCGGAGGUUGCAAAAUGAGGUCCCGUAGCGUGCAAAAUCGGGUAAGGGGAAGGCGGGGGGAACACAGAGCCCUGCAGCCUUGGGGGACAGAGGGGCUGCAGUGCUCCUGAUUUCCCCUUAAUGGGGAAAAAGCUGCGACCAGAAUUAUUGCCGGGACUGUAAAACAUCGCUGUGUUGAUUAAAGAAAAUCAUCGCUUCCUCCAAGAACGACUCUCUGUUUCGGCAGAGGUUUCUCAUCUUUUCUUUGUCUGGGGUGGCAGCAGCUUGGCAUCGCUCCUCCCCAACCCGUUUUAAACCUAAAUCAUGGAACAGGAGAUUCAAGCACUGGGCAAGCAAAGGAAUACUGAAAGCUGGCCAGCUGGUCACCCAAGAAAAUUUUAUGACAUAUUUGGAAAUUGAGACAAAUGCUGCUAAUCUGGUGAAGCCUUUGGGGCUGUGCUCGGGCAGUGACCACCACCGGUCCUGUGCGGUGCCAGGAGGAAGGGCUGGGGCUGGGGGCACCUGGGGGACCCCGGCUGCUGCCUGGGGAGGACACUUGGGAGCAGAAUAUAUCAUUUUUUUCUGUGUACCGAGUUGCCCAUGCGCUGUGUUCGUCUGGGGAAGGAGCAGCAGCAGCUCCUUUCGGCAGCGCGACGGAAGAGCGUCGAUCUCAGUGCCGUUUCCAAGGUUCCUCGUAGGGUUAGAUUGAAAGAUAGGUUGGAACAAAUCUUGGAGAGACGGCGAUGAAAGCGAAGCUUCGUGUUUGUAUGGUAAACAUGCCCAGUUAUUAAAGAGCGUUAGGAUGUGAUUUGUAACCAAAUAUUACAAAUACGGCUCUUUAUUUCCGAGCGAUCCCGCGGUAAUCCCAAGGGGCUUCCCAGCCAGAGUGCUCAGGCACAAAGAACGGAGAGAUAAUCUCUGCUCUAGCAGUUGACUACAGACAGCCUCUUGUUCAGAGAGGAAAAUCGGGCCAAAACUGGAGGAGCUGCUCAAAAAAAAAAAAAGGAAGUCUAUUGUUAGGGAAGGCUGGCGUGUCGACGCCCUGCUGCACGGAACCGAAAAGUGCACGAGUGGGGUGCGUGGCUGAAUCGCUGCCAUUUAUUUAUCGCUGAAAAUACAUCUCGCCGAAAACAAUCAGCAUAUUUUUGAACGCUAAUGUUUGCUUAGAAAUAUCUGCCUUUCUGCCAGGGCAGCUGAGGGGAGCUUAAUGAAAUCGCAGAAAUUGCGUCCUGAUGCCGUGCGGAGGCAGCCUGCAGAAGGGAGCAGCGCUUACGUCUGUUUCUGAUAGUUACAGGCCAUUAAUUUUAAAGCAAUUCAAAUUGCUAAACAAGGAGAUGGCAUAAAAGUG